rnacentral:lncRNA from 1 species
AAAAACAAAAGAAAAAGAGAGAGAAAGAAAAUAGGGAGAGAGAGUGCCCAAGGGGCUGCCGUAGAUAGCAAUGAAGGAAGAAAGAAGAGAAACUUUCCAUCUAUUGUGCAAAGUAGAAGAAGAAACAUUGCUACGAAAAUCAAGUUUAACGCGAAUGCUCAAAGAAGGACAAAGACAAAGGCAAAGAUAGAGAUUAUAUUUAUAUGGACAUUUAUCUAUUAUGAUAACUUACGUAAAUUGAUGAUGUAAACCUUGUGAGAGAUAUUAAAUGUAUGUAUUAAGAUAAAGGUUGUAGACCUUAGGAAAUAUUGUAGAACUUGUUGUAUGAACAAAUUAUGUUUAUAAUUCCGCACUAGUUUAUAGAAUAUGUAUGAAGAUGAUGUAUCGUGACACACUAGGUCCGAGGUUCAAGGGACCCGAAUUUGGGGGCGCUAUGUGAGACCCCGGAUUUUAUGAAUAAAGAUUUAAUUUUCUCGAAAUAUUUUUUUGAAUAUUAUGGUGUGGAUUUCAGAUAGUGUUAUAGUUGUGGG